UGAGUAUGAGUCAUGCAUGUGUU
rnacentral:siRNA from 1 species